UACGUAGGGGGCAAGCGUUGUCCGGAUUUAUUGGGCGUAAAGCGCUCGCAGGCGGCUUGAUGCGUCGUGCGGUGAAACACCCCGGCUCAACUGGGGGGUGUCGUGCGAUACGGGCGGACUGGAGGCCAGUAGGGGGAUGCGGAAUUCCGGGUGUAGUGGUGGAAUGCGUAGAGAUCCGGAGGAACACCAGCGGCGAAGGCGGCAUCCUGGACUGGUCCUGACACUCAUGAGCGAAAGCGUGGGGAGCGAUCCGG
rnacentral:rRNA from 1 species